GUGCCAGCAGCCGCGGUAAUUCCAGCUCCAAUAGCGUAUAUUAAAGUUGUUGUGGUUAAAAAGCUCGUAGUUGAACCUUGGGCCUGGCUGGCCGGUCCGCCUCACCGCGUGCACUGGUCCGGCCGGGCCUUUCCCUCUGUGGAACCCCAUACCCUUCACUGGGCGUGGCGGGGAAACAGGACAUUUACUUUGAAAAAAUUAGAGUGCUCCAGGCAGGCCUAUGCUCGAAUACAUUAGCAUGGAAUAAUAAAAUAGGACGCGCGGUUCUAUUUUGUUGGUUUAUAGGACCGCCGUAAUGAUUAAUAGGGACAGUCGGGGGCAUCAGUAUUCAACUGUCAGAGGUGAAAUUCUUGGAUCAGUUGAAGACUAACUACUGCGAAAGCAUUUGCCAAGGAUGUUUUCAUUAAUCAGGAACGAAAGUUAGGGGAUCGAAGACGAUCAGAUACCGUCGUAGUCUUAACCAUAAACUAUGCCGACUAGGGAUCGGACGGUGUUAUUCAUGACCCGUUCGGCACCUUACGAGAAAUCAAAGUGCUUGGGCUCCAGGGGGAGUAUGGUCGCAAGGCUGAAACUUAAAGAAAUUGACGGAAGGGCACCACCAGGGGUGGAGCCUGCGGCUUAAUUUGACUCAACACGGGGAAACUCACCAGGUCCAGACACAAUAAGGGAUUGACAGAUUGAGAGCUCUUUUCUUGAUUUUGUGGGUGGUGGUUGCAUGGCCGUUCUUUAGGUUGGUGGGGUGACUUUGUCUGCUUUAAUUGCGAUAACGAACGAGACCUUAACCUGCUUAAAUAGUCCCGCAUUGCUCCGGCAGUGCGCUGGCUUCUUAGAGGGACUUUUCGGCUCAAGCCGAAGGAAGUUUGAA
rnacentral:rRNA from 1 species